rnacentral:rRNA from 1 species
GAUGAACGCUGGCGGCGUGCCUAAUACAUGCAAGUCGAGCGAGCAGACGAGUAGCUUGCUCCUCUGACGUUAGCGGCGGACGGGUGAGUAACACGUGGGUAACCUACUUAUAAGACUGGAAUAACUCUGGGACACCGGAGCUAAUACCGGAUAAUAUUUUGAAUCGCAUGGUUCCAAAGUGCAAGACGGUAUUUCUGUCACUUAUAGAUGGAUCAGCGCCGCAUUAGCUAGUUGGUGAGGUAACGGCUUACCAAGGCAACGAUGCAUAGCCGACCUGAACGGGAGAUCGGCCACACUGGAACAGAGACACGGUCCAGACCCCUACGGUAGGCAGCAGUAGGGAAUCUUCCGCAAUGGGCGAAAGCCUGACGGAGCAACGCCGCGUGAGUCAUGAAGGUCUUCGGAUCGUAAAGCUCUGUUAUUAGGGAAGAACAAAUGCGUAUGUAACUGUGCACAUCUUGACGGUACCGAAUCAGAAAGCCACGGCUAACUACGUG